rnacentral:lncRNA from 1 species
AUUUCACACUAUACACUUUGUGGGUAAUUUUAUGCAAUUAAUCAUUUUGACCUACAUGUAUGCAAAUAAGAUGACUUUUUGUACAAAGGAAAUUGUUGUGAUUUAUUAAAGUCAAUAAUGUGUUUAUUUUUAAGGAGUACAAAGAAAAAAAUGCAAGAGAGCAAAGACAAAGAACAAAAAAUAAUGCUGGUAUGAUAUAAAUUUAAUUAUUUUGGUGAUAUAGAACAAAUAACAUCUAUAAAAGUGCCAGAGCCCACUUUGUAGUUCACUAUACAUUCUUGAUUGAGCAUAUUCUUUCUAAAUUUAAAAUAAGACCAAAUGAGGACUUUUGCAUUUUCAAUAAUUUAAUUUAUAUCUAAAAUAUUUGUUUGAAUUAACAUGCACGCUGAAAGUUUUGGGCUAAAAGACAAAAUAAAAAAAAAAAAAAUGAAUGAGUUUUGUGUUGAUAUUUUUGCCAACACAUAUUUUGAAAAAAAUCAGUCAUUAAUAUUACAUAAGAUAAAAAGGGUGUAUUCCAGGGCUUCCAAAAAAAAAUUUGAGCCUGACCUGGACAAAAUAUCUCUGAUGGAGAUUUUAAUUGCUUAAGACUAAAUCACAAAAGGCAAUUAUGGUAAUCAGAUGGCCAUCCCAAUGAUUGAUAUUAGAUUUUUGAAAAAAAACAAUAUAAAACUUUACUUUGAUAUGAAUUUGAUGUUCUGACGUAAACUGUUAAACUGGCAGUGCAUCAUUCAAAGUGUUCGCUUAAACUUGCUCAUAUCUGCCUUACCUAGAUUCUUUAUUUGUGCCAAAAGACCUUGUCAAAAAUUUUACUUUCGUUUUUUAAAAAUCACAUUUUCGUAAUACCAGAUGUUUACUUGACAAUGGUAAAACAUGGACCAGAAACGGAUAUGUAAAAUCUGUGUACGUUUACAAAGCAUGACGGAGCGAAGAAGCUCUUUCCACGUUAUUUCUUCAGCAAAAUACUUGAAAUGUACAUAAGGUACAGGUACUAAUGAUAAUUUUAGCAUUUUUUAAGAAAUGUAGGAUACAUAAUUAAAUUUCCCACCUGUGCACAUGCGCACACUUGUUCUAGUUCAUACAACGUAGUUCUGAUGAUUUUUCAUUUAAAACCUUUUGAAUUUUUCAUCAAAUUCAUGUUUAUAAACGUAUUUUUUAUAAUUUUAUUCUUUUAGACUAAAUCAUCUAGACCCAAACCGCUGAAAUGUAAGAAAAUAACUGAAUAGAUCUUAUCAAUUUAUACACUGUCCGGUACUAAAAAUAGUUUACCUGUCACCUGAACAGGUAGAUUUCAGCUGUCCAACAACUAAUUAGCCUUGAUUAGAAUUAGAAAGUAUUUAAGUAGGGGUUGUUUUGAUAGGAGUUAAUCAUCUGUCACUUUUAUGACUGGAAAUGUGUGGCUUUAAAAGCAAAAUGUUGGGUCAAAAAGAUCGCAGUUUAUGUUAAAAUGACCGUCUAGUAAGAAAGUCUUGAAAAACUAAAAAGUAGAUGACUGUUUCAUGUUUUACCCAGCCUGACUUUUACCGGACAUUAUACAAUUGUUCGGAAUAUAUGACCGUUUUGGAAGCCUUGGUGUAUUCUUCUUUUAGAUUUUCAGUUAUUGAUAGUUCUACUAUCAAAAGUUGUAUGCAAUAUUUUAUCAAACACUGAUUUAGCCCAUUCAUUGUAAAUUGACCAUAAUCAUACAAUGAACUUAUGCAAACAUUUCUAACUAACAUUUUAUCACUUUUUUUUUAGAUUAUAUAAAUAUAAAAAAAUGGAAAUGUGGUAUGAUUGCCAAUGAUUCAACUAUUCACCUAAAUUUAAAUGAAGUGGAUGUAAGCAUAUAUAGGCAACCAUAUGGCUGUAAAACUGUGCAAAAAGUUUUUUUUUUUUUCAAAAAAAAAAAUAUGAGAUGUGGCAUGAAUACACAGGAGGAAGUUAAUAUCAUUAUAGGACUUUCAAAUAUCAAGAAUAAUCACAUAUAUUUUUGUCGAGCCUUCGACUUUAGUCGAAAAAGCGAGACAUAGCGAUCCUACAUUCCGUCGGCGUCGGCGUCGUCGUCGGCGGCGUCCACAAAAUUCAUCUGCGGUUAAAGUUUUUGAAAAUUUUAAUAACUUUCUUGAACUAUACUGGUAUUUCUACAAACUUGGAAACAGAAGCUUGUUAUGUUCAUAGAUAGUUCCAGAAGUAAAUUUUGUAAAAAUAAAAUCCAUUUUUCCGUAUUUUACUUAUAAAUGGACUUAGUUUUUUCUGCCAGGAAACAUUACAUUCACUCUGUGGUUUAAGUUUUUAAAAUUUUAAUAACUUUCUUAAACUAUCCUGGAAUUGCACCAAACUAGGACAGAAGCUUGUUUAUGAUCAGAAGAUAGUAUCCAGAAGUAAAAUUUGUAAAAAGAAAAUUCCAAUAAUUCCGGUAUUUUACUUAUAAAUGGACUUAGUUUUUUCUGCCAGGAAACAUUACAUUCACUCUGUGGUUAAGGUUUUUAAAAUUUAAAUAACUUUCUUAAACUAUCUUUGAUUUGUACCAAAUUUAAACAGAAGCUUGUUUAUGUUCAUGAGAUAGUAUGCAGCUGUAAAUUUUGUAAAAAUGAAAUUCCAAUUUUUCUGUAUUUUACUUAUAAAUGGACUUAGUUUUUCUUCCAGUUAACAUUACAUACAGUCUGCAGUUAAAGUGUUUUUAAAACAUUUUAAAGAUUCUUAAACUAUCCUGGAUUUUUUACCAACUUGGACAGAAGCUUCUGACAAUCAAAAGACAGUAUCGAGAGGAAUAUUUUUUUCAUCAUUUUUGUUGAGUGUGUGAUAAACAGCAAAAGUAGGCAAGACACUGGGUUCCGCGGAACCCUUACAAUUUUUUAAUAAAAGUAUAAUAUACUAAAAUGUUUGAGAAUAAAAAAACUGAGGUAUUAUUUGUGUGCAGCUUACCAGAAAAGAAUACCGGUAUACAUAUCAUAUAAAUCAUUAGAGAGACAUACUUUUACUGCAUCUAUAUAGAAUAUAUAUAUCAAGUUUUGUAUCACAUUUAGUUAUCAAAGGUUUUUUGUCUUUAACUAUUCUAUAGGAUAUCUGUUUUACUCAUAUUUUAAGGCCAUAUUGUGUUUACUAAAGUUGCUUACAUUCUUUUGCCUCAUUCCCUGGUUCUUGGAAAUCAUUCCACAGCAAAUUUCUGUAUUUUUCUAAUUUACGACUUUCAACUGUAUAUUAUAAUGCAUUUCUUUUUUUAAUCCAUAUUGCUAAUGUGUUUAUUCCAUUUACCUUUAGUUACACAAAGAAAAAAUGGAAAAACAAAAGAAGGAUAAAGAGGAACAAAACAUAGACCAAGGAAGUAAACAAAAGGAGCACAAGAAUAAAAAAUCAUCCAAACAUAUUAAUAAGAAAUCAUCCAAACAUAGGGCAAAGGUAAAGUGAAAAUGGAAAACAUGUGACAAAACUUUUGUUUAUUUUCUAUUGUUAUAUUUGAUAAUAAAUGAAUUAAGCAAGC